rnacentral:rRNA from 1 species
CCUACUAUAAGACUGGGAUAACUUCGGGAAACCGGAGCUAAUACCGGAUAAUAUAUUGAACCGCAUGGUUCAAUAGUGAAAGACGGUUUUGCUGUCACUUAUAGAUGGAUCCGCGCGCAUUAGCUAGUUGGUAAGGUAACGGCUUACCAAGGCAACGAUGCGUAGCCGACCUGAGAGGGUGAUCGGCCACACUGGAACUGAGACACGGUCCAG